GGUCCCUGCACAGAAACUUAAGAGUGCUAUGGGAGAUUUGUUAUUGAUAAAUACCCAAAUAAUGCCUUAACAUCUAAUUUAAUAUUACGAAUAUUUAUUUUAAAAGAUUUAUUUAUUUUUAUCAGAGAGGCAUAUUUACAGAAAAAGAGAAAGAGAUCUUCCAUUGCUGGUUUGCUCCCCAAAUACCACAACAGCCAGAAUCUAGCCAAUCUGAAGCCAGGAGCUUGGAGCUUCUUCCAGGUCUCCCAUGUGGAUGCUGAGUCUGAAGGCUUUGAGCCAUUGUUUUUCCAGGCCACAGUCAAGGUGCUGGAUGGGAAGUGGAGCAGCUGAGACACAAACCUUCACCCAUAUGGGAUCCUUAUGCUUGCAAGGGGAGGAUUUAGGUAGUUGAGCCAUCAUGCUGGGCCCAGGAUAUUUAAUAUGUGAAGUAUUUAAUAUGCAUUUUCAUAUUUAACUGAUGCUUAUUUAAAUGGGUAGAGUAUCUGGUGAUAAUUUCAGAAGUUUACAGGGAAAGUGGGAUUUUUAUGUGGAGGCCCAGUACAAGUGAGGCCUUAAAGUUGGAAAGCAGACAUAGAGCCUGCCUCGGGCUAACUGCUCACAAAUUCAGAGAUUGUAGUUACAGGGCUUGCAUUUGUGGUGGUUUUCUCUCUGGCACAUUUGUCAAGUUUUCAAAUGGGCCUGACUCCACCACAUACAUUGUAAGGGAGCUGGCAAAGGCUCGAUGACAAAGACAUCUCUUCUGAGCCCUUUGCACCAGAGCUUUGCUCCCACAUGUGGCAGGCUAGCUCAUGAGUUUAAGUCCUUACAGACAGGCUGGGGUGCCUGUCUGCCUGAGGAGA